rnacentral:tRNA from 1 species
UACAUUAUGGUGUAUGUGCACGUAAAUUUUUGGAUUUUAAGGAGAAGUUCAAUUCUUUUUUUGUAG